GUGCCAGCCGCCGCGGUAAGACGUAGGGGCCGAGCGUUGUCCGGAGUUACUGGGCGUAAAGGGCGCGCAGGCGGUGUGUCGCGUCGGAUGUGAAAGCCCCCCGCUCAACGGGGGAGGGUCAUUCGAAACGGGCACACUGGAGGCAGGGAGAGGUCGGUGGAAUUCCCGGUGUAGUGGUGAAAUGCGUAGAUAUCGGGAGGAACACCAGUGGCGAAGGCGGCCGACUGGACCUGACCUGACGCUGAGGCGCGAAGGCGUGGGGAGCGAACGGGAUUAGAUACCCCGGUAGUCCACGCAGUAAACGAUGGACACUAGGUGUGGCGCGAGUUGACCCGUGCCGUGCCGGCGCUAACGCAGUAAGUGUCCCGCCUGGGGAGUACGGCCGCAAGGCUAAAACUCAAAGGAAUUGGCGGGG
rnacentral:rRNA from 1 species